rnacentral:rRNA from 1 species
AUACAGAGGGUGCAAGCGUUAAUCGGAUUUACUGGGCGUAAAGCGCGCGUAGGUGGCUAAUUAAGUCAAAUGUGAAAUCCCCGAGCUUAACUUGGGAAUUGCAUUCGAUACUGGUUAGCUAGAGUAUGGGAGAGGAUGGUAGAAUUCCAGGUGUAGCGGUGAAAUGCGUAGAGAUCUGGAGGAAUACCGAUGGCGAAGGCGGCCAUCUGGCCUAAUGCGGACACUGAGGUGCGAAAGCAUGGGGAGCAAACAGGAUUAGAUACCCUGGUAGUCCAUGCCGUAAACGAUGUCUACUAGCCGUUGGGGCCCUUGAGGCUUUAGUGGCGCAGCUAAAGCGAUAAGUAGACCGCCUGGGGAGUACGGUCGCAAGACUAAAACUCAAAUGAAUUGACGGG